CCAACCCCAACUUGGUAAACAAGGACAACAUUAAAAUAAUGCUAGCUCCAAAUUCAGCUAAAGCAUUGCUAAUUGUCAAAUCACCAAUCACACAAGGGACUGUAAAACUCCCUGGAUCAUGCUUCUUCUCUAGCAAUUUAUUCUGAAGUAUAGCCGAAAACUCCUCAAUUAAGGUGACAAUCACCAAGUCCUCUAACUUCCUCUUGUUGCUGAG
rnacentral:lncRNA from 1 species